GUUUUAAUAAUUUAACAAAAAUAUUGAUUUUGUAAAUCAAACAUGAAUCUUUUCUUAAAACA
rnacentral:tRNA from 1 species